rnacentral:rRNA from 1 species
GAUGAACGCUGGCGGCGUGCCUAACACAUGCAAGUCGAGCGAUUCUCUUCGGAGAAGAGCGGCGGACGGGUGAGUAACGCGUGGGUAACCUGCCCUGUACACACGGAUAACAUACCGAAAGGUAUGCUAAUACGGGAUAAUGUGCUUUUAUCGCAUGGUAGAAGUAUCAAAGCUCCGGCGGUACAGGAUGGACCCGCGUCUGAUUAGCUAGUUGGUAAGGUAACGGCUUACCAAGGCGACGAUCAGUAGCCGACCUGAGAGGGUGAUCGGCCACAUUGGAACUGAGACACGGUCCAAACUCCUACGGGAGGCAGCAGUGGGGAAUAUUGCACAAUGGGCGAAAGCCUGAUGCAGCAACGCCGCGUGAGCGAUGAAGGCCUUCGGGUCGAAAAGCUCUGUCCUCAAGGAAGAUAAUGACGGUACUUGAGGAGGAAGCCCCGGCUAACUACGUGCCAGCAGCCGCAGAAACAC